rnacentral:misc_RNA from 1 species
CGGCGCGAACACACCCCUCCCUAUCACAAAGUGUGCACCAGUUCCGCCAACUGAAGCGUGUCGGCAGACCAGCGCAUCUGUACAGGGUCCUUUGGAGCGGCACUUGCGUGGAUGCAUCAAGCGUUUCUGUUUUUGUUUUGCUUGCGCUAGCGGACCAUGCUUCGUUUGACAAGCUGGCGCCUGGGGGGCGCCGUUUCCCGCGCCGCCGCCGCCGCCAAGCAAAGAGGCCGAAAGCCGCGCUCCGGGUCCGCUCGAGGUCGCCGGCCCUCCAAGCCGGGAAGGAAAGCCGUUAGCAGAAGCGCGACACCGAAGGCGACACGUGGGCGGCCCAGUUCCCAAGGCCGUGGCCGUGGCCAGAGCCGGGGUCGGGGUCGCCCUUCUCUCGCCUCUUCUCCAAGCCGGUCGGCCAAGGAUGCUACGAAGCCUGCGCCCCCAGUAAAGGCAAAGGCGACCACCUCCGCGAGUGACAAGGAUGAGAGCAACAGGUACGCGUCGGCGCGGCCAGCUUAUAUGUCAGCAGAGCGCGAGCAGGAGGUUCUCCAGAUGGCGGAGCGGAUGCAGACGAAGGACACAUCGACCGAGGUGCCUGUCGCGUCGUUCGCAUACGAAAUCCUCAAGGCGCACCCAUCGGUGCGGGACAUGGGCCUGCGUGAGCGCAUGGACUUCUUGCUCAAGCGCUGGAACCGGCUCAGCAAAGCUCAGAAGCUAGACUACGUGAAUGACCCCUUGCGCGGGCUACUGUGAGAAUGGGUGUCGGUGCGGUUUGUGUGCUGCGCGUGUGCUUGAGGCGCAAGUCGCUCUAGCUGUGGUGGUGGUGGUUACAGCACAACGCAUACUUUCUUCACCAUUUCUGCCCCACUCCCCCUUCAUCGUCCUCUUCGUGCUCCUUUCGCUUCUGGUUUCGCCUCUCGUAUCGCCGCGCCUUCUAAUGGGCUGCUGCAUCAUCCAUUAUUAUAGAGUGAUGCUCCGUGUGUAUGUGCGUGUGUGUCUGUGCCCGUGGGAGGCGUUUGUGUGUCUUCUUGUUUUUUUUUUCACGUCCCUGACGUCUAUCUCUUUCUACGGCUAGCAGACUUGCCUCAUAGCAACGACGGCACACACACGCACAAAGGGAAAAAGGGAAGCCAAAGGAAGUGGUUGAUGGGCGCUGUUGACUGAGGACUGAUACCAGCGGACAACUCCCCCCUCUCCUCCCUCUCCGACAUAGAAGGAGCCAUUGAAGCUUAGGAACAUUGGAAAAAGAAGGUGCGAUGGUACAAUGAGAACGACGGUUGUUGGCUGUGGUACGCCGCCAACUCAGUGGUGUCUCUC